UAGAUGUAAAUAGAAAUCACUCUCUAAUGCACUAUUUCGAUGUAGAAUGUUAUAUUGCCUAUACAUAGGGAGUAAGGAGCAAUUUGGUAUUCAGCCUAAAAUGACUCAACCUCAGGCUUCUGUUGUGGCGUUCUUUGCGUGUGUUCAGCAUUAGAUGAACUGCUCGGUCUGUUAUAAUUUUAUCAGAUAUAAAGAGUGGCUUGUUACAUUGAGUAUAUGACUCUAACUAGGGAACUAAUUAAGAAGGCAGGGAAAGGUGGCAAAAGUUUGAUAAAAUGGCUGCAGAAUCAGGGUCUUUUAUCUGCAAAAAAAAAAUGUUCAGUGUGCCAACACAGAAUGAAACUAACUAGGACAGCAACUACUAAGGAUGGCUACCGAUGUCUGGCUCAGGGUUUAAGGAAGAGACAUGUGGAUAUGAUAGAAGAUGGUGUAUGUGGGAGCAGCAAGUCCUUGACCAGGGUGACUACACAUCUGCGGAAAGUGUGUGGACGAGCAAUAAGGCGAUAUGAGAGAAGAAGGAAAAUGAAAGUUGGAGGGAGGAGAGCUUUUGUUGCAAUUGAUGAAAGCAAAUUCAGACACAAAAGAAAGUAUGGACGUGGGAGGCGAGGGCCUACAUGGCGUAGGAGCUCAUGGGUUUUUGGCAUGCUGGAGGUGAAGCAUUCAAGAAGGCGCCCCAUUUUAAAACUUGUGAAAAAUCGUUCCAGGAGGCGUUUGUUGCCAAUUAUAAGGAAGUAUGUUAGACCUGGAUCUCAUGUAAUUAGUGACUCCUGGGGUGCAUACAACACAUUGGCUCAGCAUGGCUAUAUCCACUAUCAAGUCAAUCACCAGCAACAUUUUGUACAUCCUGGGAAUGGAGCUCAUACCCAGCAUAUUGAAAGAGCCUGGCGAAAUUAUAAAGAAGACAUCUAUAGGUACAGAGGUAACCUGACUGAGAAAUCCCUAAAAAUGAAUUUAAGGUUUAUAGAGUGGAAUUCUUGGCUAGGAAGACAGCACAGGAAUGGAAUACUUGGCCGUUUGUUUAAAGAUAUUAGAGCAUGUCACAAGGUUUAAGGGUGAAAAAGUAUACCAUAAGAAUAUGUGUAUUUACCCCCUUUUUAAACAUAAUUUGUAGAAUAAGGUCUUACAUGUUAAAUAUAUAUAAAUUAACAUACCACUUCAAAAACCACUAGAAUGUAAUCAAGAGGAAAAUGGAUAAUCACAAGUGCUUGAAUUGUGGCACCAGGAGUGACGGAGUUAGAUCAUCCAAAAGCAGUGUGAAAGACUGGUGGAGGAGAGAGAGCAUGAUGCCAAGACGCAUGAAAUAAAACUGAUUAAAAAUCAGGGUUAUUAAAACCACCAAAUAUUGGUUUCUGAACUCUUAAAACAUUAUUAUAGUUGUUUCUAAAUUAAUAUGAACUGCUUUUUGUUUGCAUUAUUUGAGAUCUGAAAGCACUAAAGCAUCUUUUUCAUUAUUUUGACCAUUUCUCAUUUUCUGCUCUAAAUAACAAUAUUUGUAUUUAGUAUUUGG